UACGUAGGGCGCAAGCGUUAUCCGGAAUUAUUGGGCGUAAAGAGCUCGUAGGCGGUUUGUCGCGUCUGCCGUGAAAGUCCGGGCUCACUCCGGAUCUGCGGUGGGUACGGGCAGACUAGAGUGAUGUAGGGGAGACUGGAAUUCCUGGUGUAGCGGUGAAAUGCGCAGAUAUCAGGAGGAACACCGGUGGCGAAGGCGGGUCUCUGGGCCGAUACUGACGCUGAGGAGCGAAAGCGUGGGGGGAGCGAACAGG
rnacentral:rRNA from 1 species